rnacentral:rRNA from 1 species
UACGUAAGGGACCGAGCGUUGUCCGGAAUCAUUGGGCGUAAAGAGCGUGUAGGCGGCUUGCUAAGUCUUGCGUGAAAUCUCGGGGCUCAACCCCGAGCGGUCGUGGGAAACUGGCAGGCUAGAGUGCGGGAGAGGAGAAUGGAAUUCCUGGUGUAGCGGUGAAAUGCGCAGAUAUCAGGAAGAACACCCGUGGCGAAGGCGGUUCUCUGGAACGCAACUGACGCUGAGGUACGACAGCGUGGGGAGCGAACAGG